GCCCAGAUAGCUCAGUUGGUAGAGCAGAGGACUGAAAAUCCUCGUGUCGCUGGUUCGAUUCCGGCUCUGGGCACCA
rnacentral:tRNA from 24 species